CCAGGUAUAUGAGCGUUGCAUUUUGGGAAAUGAAGAUGCUAUGAACGCUAAUGGAGAAAACGCUAACGCUCGCGCGACCUCUUUCAAACCAAAGAAAAACUGACGAGUUCCAGACUGCUCUAAUCAGCGAAUUACAUCUGAGUUCUGUGUGAUACAAGUGUCUGACAGAAUUGAUGUCAAGGAGGAUUCGGCCUGAUUCAAUGAGGGAUUGAGGACCAAUUUUUUUCAACUUCAGCCAACUGUUGGAGCAUCACCCAAAGCAGAUAAGGUCGUGGAGGAAAAGACGUUAGUUUGACCAAUAAGCUACAUUGUAGCUUAUGACACAAUUGAAGUGGGCGUCAACUGUUCCUCCGGCUUUUGGCACAUUUAAAUGGAGGCCAGUAUCCGGACGAGUCCAGGUUACCUGCUGAUAUCGACAAAGAGAAGCACAGGAUAAAUUGCCACUCAGUGACGGUAUGAAUGUGGGUGCCAAUGGUCGUCUGUCUCUUUGUGUACCCUGUGAUUAAUCAUUUCAGCGUGCUGCCCGUCUUCCAUUGCAAGUAUUGGUGGCUCGGUGGUAGAGUUUUCGCACGCUGCGCGGGAACCCCGAGACUGAUGCCCGGGCACGCCAAUGCAUCUUGGGGUAGCCUUUGCAGCUAGCCUCGCAUCGGGGCAACAGUUCCGCUACGACAACGCGAGCAGACCAGGAUAUACGGUGUUGGAAAUGUCCCACACUACAACAAAUCAUUAUUUUAUCCACACUGGUUUGAGUGCAAUAUUGUUGUGGUUGGUUCGUUGUUUAAAAUGUGUAAAAGAAAUAAUGUUUGUUUUGCAUGUGGGAUGAGAAUUCAGUAAAACGGCAUGUGAGGGACUAACUUGUCCCCCCCCUCCACAGUACUUAAGUUACUGAAUAUGUAUAUAAAAAUGGAUCUUAAGCUACUAUACCGAGUGUGGUUUGAUUGUCAAUAUCAGUUUGCAUAUGACUGAUGAAAAAGGUAAAAUUUCAGAUUUGAAGAAGUCCAUUGGAACUGUUUUGAAAUAAAAAAAACCAUCCCACCUUGUUUCCAAUUGCCAAAUAUAUAUGCCUUGUAGACUGAAGUGCAAAUUGUGUUUAUUCACAGAUGCAAGACAGUGUUAAAGUAUAAGAAUAAAAUGUCGCAGUAAGGUUUAUUGACCACAUAUUAUAUGUACAUAAUAUAAUUAUAUAUAAGGAAUGUUUGUAUAUAUAAUUUAUGUUUGUACAUAUGAUGUAUGUGUGUAUGUGCAGGGUGAUUCAAAAACAAUGUGCCAAAAUCACACAUUUAUUCCUUUCAAAAUCAUUGACAUAGACUGAAAUGAUUAAUUAAAUUGUUAAUUUGAUAAGAAAGUCUCUUUAUCAAGUAAGUUAACAAAUUUAGUCAUAUCAGCUUGAUUGUCCGUGAU